UACGGAGGGUGCAAGCGUUAAUCGGAAUUACUGGGCGUAAAGCGCGCGUAGGUGGCUUGAUAAGCCGGUUGUGAAAGCCCCGGGCUCAACCUGGGAACGGCAUCCGGAACUGUCAGGCUAGAGUGCAGGAGAGGAAGGUAGAAUUCCCGGUGUAGCGGUGAAAUGCGUAGAGAUCGGGAGGAAUACCAGUGGCGAAGGCGGCCUUCUGGACUGACACUGACACUGAGGUGCGAAAGCGUGGGUAGCAAACAGGAUUAGAAACCCCUGUAGU
rnacentral:rRNA from 1 species